rnacentral:snoRNA from 1 species
ACGACCUUACUUGAACAGGAUCUGUUCUAUAGGAUCGUACCUCUGUAUCCUUUAACACUAAGGAGACAGGAACCUAAGCCUGGUUGAUGAACCAGGACCGUGUGAUCAUAGCGUGAUUAGUGGCUUGAUUAUCCUUGGAUUAUCAUGGCCGCAGAGGAUCGUUCUCGAGCCAUCAUGUGGCUUGGGGAUGGUCAUGCGGUUGUCUGACAGGC